GGUUCGAUGGCGUAGUUGGUUAUCGCAUCUGUCUAACAUUGUCUGAAAGGACUUGGCUACACAGAAGGUCCUCAGUUCGAGCCUGGGUCGAAUCA